ensembl:misc_RNA
UUUCAGUGGUCAUCCUUCCAGGUCCGGUUCCUAGGAAAGGCGUUGCAGCACUCCAGAACUUAGUUCAGCGGCUGUGGUGGGAACAGUGGUCUUCAG